rnacentral:rRNA from 1 species
GACGAACGCUGGCGGCGUGCUUAACACAUGCAAGUCGAACGGAAAGGCCCUGCUUUUGUGGGGUGCUCGAGUGGCGAACGGGUGAGUAACACGUGAGUAACCUGCCCUUGACUUUGGGAUAACUUCAGGAAGCUGGGGCUAAUACCGGAUAGGAGCUCCUGCUGCUUGGUGGGGGUUGGAAAGUUUCGGCGGUUGGGGAUGGACUCGCGGCUUAUCAGCUUGUUGGUGGGGUAGUGGCUUACCAAGGCUUUGACGGGUAGCCGGCCUGAGAGGGUGACCGGCCACAUUGGGACUGAGAUACGGCCCAGACUCCUACGGGAGGCAGCAGUGGGGAAUAUUGCACAAUGGGCGGAAGCCUGAUGCAGCAACGCCGCGUGCGGGAUGACGGCCUUCGGGUUGUAAACCGCUUUCGCCUGUGACGAAGCGUGAGUGACGGUAAUGGGUAAAGAAGCACCGGCUAACUACGUG